GGGUCCGUAGGCGGGCCGAUAAGUCAGUGGUGAAAGCCCAUAGCUCAACUAUGGAACUGCCAUUGAUACUGUCGGUCUUGAGUAUAUGUGAUGUUGGCGGAAUGUGUAGUGUAGCGGUGAAAUGCUUAGAUAUUACACAGAACACCGAUUGCGAAGGCAGCUGACAAAUAUAUAACUGACGCUGAGGGACGAAAAGUGUGGGGAUCAAAACAGGAUUAGAUACCCUGGUAGUCCACACCGUAAAACGAUGAUUACUAGAUUUUGGCCUUAUGGUCAGAGUCCAAGCGAAAGUGUUAAGUAAUCCACCUGGGGAGUACGUCCGCAAGGAUGAAACUCAAAGGAAUUGACGGGGGCCCGCACAAGCGGUGGAGCAUGUGGUUUAAUUCGAUGAUACGCGAGGAACCUUACCUGGGCUUGAAAGUUAGUGACCGCUCCUGAAAGGGAGCUUUCCGCAAGGACACGAAACUAGGUGCUGCAUGGCUGUCGUCAGCUCGUGCCGUGAGGUGUCGGAUUAAGUUCCAUAACGAGCGCAACCCCUAUUUCUAGUUGCCAGCGAGUAAUGUCGGGGACUCUAGAGAAACUGCCCGCGUAAGCGGUGAGGAAGGUGGGGACGACGUCAAGUCAUCACGGCCCUUACGUCCAGGGCGACACACGUGCUACAAUGGUAGGGACAGUGAGUUGCAAGCCGGUAACGGUAAGCUAAUCUACAAACCCUAUCUCAGUUCGGAUCGAGGUCUGCAACCCGACCUCGUGAAGCUGGAAUCGCUAGUAAUCGCAUAUCAGCCAUGAUGCGGUGAAUACGUUCCCGGGCCUUGUACACACCGCCCGUCAAGCCAUGGAAGUUGGGGGUGCCUAAAGUCGGUUACCGCAAGGAGCCGCCUAGGGCAAAACCAGUAACUGGGGCU
rnacentral:rRNA from 1 species